GGUUGGAUGGUGUAGUGGUAACACCUUCCAGCACAUAUGGAAUAACCCAGGUUCAAUCCCUAGUCUGACCA
rnacentral:tRNA from 1 species